rnacentral:rRNA from 1 species
AUUGAACGCUGGCGGCAGGCCUAACACAUGCAAGUCGAACGAGUGGCGGACGGGUGAGUAAUGUCUGGGAAACUGCCCGAUGGGGGGGGAUAACUACUGGAAACGGUAGCUAAUACCGCCUACCAUCGGAUUUGCCCAGGUGGGAUGAGCUGGUGGGUGGGGUAACGGCUCUCCUAGGAGACGAUCCCUAGCUGGUCUGAGAGGAUGACCAGCCACACUGGAACGGAGACACGGUCCAGACGCCGACGGGAGGCAGCAGUGGGGAAUAUUGCACAAUGGGCGAAAGCCUGAUGCAGCCAUGCCGCGUGUAUGAAGAAGGCCUUCGGGUUGUAAAGUACUUUCAGCGGGGAGGCGUUACUCGCAGAAGAAGCACCGGCUAACUCCGUGCCAGCAGCCGCGGUAAUUC